rnacentral:rRNA from 1 species
AGAAGCAAUAAUGUUAAUAUGAGUAACAAGAAAUGAUUCUCCAUGCACACGUGUAUAUCAGAACGAAUAAUUCACUGAUAGUUAACAGAAUGAAUAUAAACAACUAUUAAACUCUCAUUAUCCACUGUUAGUCCAACACAGGAGUGUAACUAAGGAAAGAUUAAAAGAAGUAAAAGGAACUCGGC